rnacentral:rRNA from 1 species
GGAGGCUAUACAUGCAAGUCGAGCGAACUGAUUAGAAGCUUGCUUCUAUGACGUUAGCGGCGGACGGGUGAGUAACACGUGGGCAACCUGCCUGUAAGACUGGGAUAACUUCGGGAAACCGAAGCUAAUACCGGAUAGGAUCUUCUCCUUCAUGGGAGAUGAUUGAAAGAUGGUUUCGGCUAUCACUUACAGAUGGGCCCGCGGUGCAUUAGCUAGUUGGUGAGGUAACGGCUCACCAAGGCAACGAUGCAUAGCCGACCUGAGAGGGUGAUCGGCCACACUGGGACUGAGACACGGCCCAGACUCCUACGGGAGGCAGCAGUAGGGAAUCUUCCGCAAUGGACGAAAGUCUGACGGAGCAACGCCGCGUGAGUGAUGAAGGCUUUCGGGUCGUAAAACUCUGUUGUUAGGGAAGAACAAGUACGAGAGUAACUGCUCGUACCUUGACGGUACCUAACCAGAAAGCCACGGCUAACUACGUGCCAGCAGCCGCGGUAAUACGUAGGUGGCAAGCGUUAUCCGGAAUUAUUGGGCGUAAAGCGCGCGCAGGCGGUUUCUUAAGUCUGAUGUGAAAGCCCACGGCUCAACCGUGGAGGGUCAUUGGAAACUGGGGAACUUGAGUGCAGAAGAGAAAAGCGGAAUUCCACGUGUAGCGGUGAAAUGCGUAGAGAUGUGGAGGAACACCAGUGGCGAAGGCGGCUUUUUGGUCUGUAACUGACGCUGAGGCGCGAAAGCGUGGGGAGCAAACAGGAUUAGAUACCCUGAUAGUCCACGCCGUAAACGAUGAGUGCUAAGUGUUAGAGGGUUUCCGCCCUUUAGUGCUGCAGCUAACGCAUUAAGCACUCCGCCUGGGGAGUACGGUCGCAAGACUGAAACUCAAAGGAAUUUGACGGGGGCCCGCACAAGCGGUGGAGCAUGUGAUUAAUUCGAAGCAACGCGGAAGAACCCUUACCAGGU